UGGAGAGCUAGUUUGGCCAGCUAGGGAGUGGCUGUAACUGGAAAUUCCCUUUAGCCAGGAACGAAGCUCUGAAGGCGGCAGGUCAGCUGUUUACUGUCCUGUUAAUUAGUGUCGAAGCGUAGCCUUACAGGGCGUUUUGGUUGAUGAACCGGGUCAGGCCUUGACGGGAGCAGCCCUAAUUUAAUUGAAAUGUGCUUGUGAGUUCACUGCGUGGAGCUGAUUUUCAGGUUAGCAGUUUUUAGUUGAUUUUGUCCACUUAAGGGCAUGCUCUCCA
rnacentral:SRP_RNA from 1 species